GACGAACGCUGGCGGCGUGCUUAACACAUGCAAGUCGAACGGAAAGGCCCCCUUGUGGGGUACUCGAGUGGCGAACGGGUGAGUAACACGUGAGUAACCUACCCUUGACUUUGGGAUAACUUCAGGAAACUGGGGCUAAUACCGGAUAGGAGCUCCUGCUGCAUGGUGGGGGUUGGAAAGUUUCGGCGGUUGGGGAUGGACUCGCGGCUUAUCAGCUUGUUGGUGGGGUAGUGGCUCACCAAGGCUUUGACGGGUAGCCGGCCUGAGAGGGUGACCGGCCACAUUGGGACUGAGAUACGGCCCAGACUCCUACGGGAGGCAGCAGUGGGGAAUAUUGCACAAUGGGCGGAAGCCUGAUGCAGCAACGCCGCGUGCGGGAUGACGACCUUCGGGUUGUAAACCGCUUUCGCCUGUGACGAAGCGUGAGUGACGGUAAUGGGUAAAGAAGCACCGGCUAACUACGUG
rnacentral:rRNA from 1 species